rnacentral:misc_RNA from 1 species
AACGCACAUUGCGCCCUUUGGUAUUCCGAAGGGCAUGCCUGUUCGAGCGUCAUUAUCACCCCUCAAGCCCCGUGCUUGGUGUUGGAUGGCCGGUCGAGGUUCGCCCCGACCCCUCCUAAAGACAAUGACGGCGACCUGUGGUUCCCCCGGUACACUGAGCUUUUCGCAGAGCACGUACCGGACGAGGGCGCCCGGGUCACGGUCCCCUCCUCCUCGUGAGGAAAUAUUUUUCAAGGUUGACCUCGGAUCAGGUAGGAAUACGCGCUGAACUUAA